rnacentral:rRNA from 1 species
GACGAACGCUGGCGGCGUGCCUAAUACAUGCAAGUCGAACGCUUCUUUCCUCCCGAGUGCUUGCACUCAAUUGGAAAGAGGAGUGGCGGACGGGUGAGUAACACGUGGGUAACCUACCCAUCAGAGGGGGAUAACACUUGGAAACAGGUGCUAAUACCGCAUAACAGUUUAUGCCGCAUGGCAUAAGAGUGAAAGGCGCUUUCGGGUGUCGCUGAUGUAUGGACCCGCGGUGCAUUAGCUAGUUGGUGAGGUAACGGCUCACCAAGGCCACGAUGCAUAGCCGACCGGAGAGGGUGAUCGGCCACACUGGGACUGAGACACGGCCCAGACUCCUACGGGAGGCAGCAGUAGGGAAUCUUCGGCAAUGGACGAAAGUCUGACCGAGCAACGCCGCGUGAGUGAAGAAGGUUUUCGGAUCGUAAAACUCUGUUGUUAGAGAAGAACAAGGACGUUAGUAACUGAACGUCCCCUGACGGUAUCUAACCAGAAAGCCACGGCUAACUACGUG